GUUAAACAUAGAGGAUACAUGCUGACAAAGCGCAUAGAGGAGCAAGAGACACUAACAGAACAAUUAGAAGAGGAGAAAAAGAAAGUUAUCUAGCAAAGGUUAGCUAACAGGUGGCUAAUUCACUGCUAUUGGCUCUGUGUCUUGUCAUGUGGAGCCUGAGCACUGUGGCCUGAGUGAACACAGCUGCACCGUGAUGCAUCCAGUUUCAAGGCAAUGGCAUUCACGGUCCCUCACAGUCCCAAAAAGCUCCAUGACAACUGCAUCGCUACCUGUGCAGCCGAAAAAUCAGACAAAGCAAACAACGAUUCAUAAACAUCUGAAGAUGAAAGUGCACAGCAGCGGAACAGCAGCGACUCUCUUUUUGCUCUCUCUUGAUUGAGGCCCUUCUGGACCAACUCAAUGCCGGGCCUGAUGUCAUGUACCUCCUCUUGGAAUUUUUUGGAGAGGGGUCUCCGGGCCUGGCUGGCCCCACUUCAGACAUUGCUCUACUUUUUUGCUCCGCUGAGGAUGUCUCUCUGCUUCUUUGCUCCUCUGGGGAUGUUCCUCUGCCCCAUUGCCACAAGUGAUGCCACUACACUCUCCCUGCUCUGCCUCAGUCUUCAAUAUGCCAUGCAGAUCCACUGAGGAUACCUCUGCUGAGGACAUUUUGCCUCCUAUAUGUAAUCCUUGUUCCACUGAGGAUGUCACUCUGUCUCCUUGCUCCACUGAGGAUUUGGGGCGGUUGGGGGGUGCUGUCAUGAUAGUGUCAAAGGGAUGUUGAACUACAUUACUCCUCAGCCCCAGCACAUCACAUGACCAUGUCACAUGUCUCACUGAUCACUCACACCUGUUCUGUGUUACUCCUUAUAAGCACCCCUAUUUAAGUUCUGGUAUCUGGGUGUUCCUUUGUCAAUCUUUUGUCAUUUUGUAUUAGUUUUUAGUGGUGUGUACCCCAGUAUCACUCAUAGCUGUAUGUUCUUUGCUUUGUAUGCUCUAUACAUGCUUCUUGUCCUUAUUGUCAUGUCAUUGGUUUUGCUAGCACCUUCUUUUAAUAAACUUUAACUGCA
ensembl:lncRNA